GACGAACGCUGGCGGCGUGCUUAACACAUGCAAGUCGAACGGAAAGGCCCUGCUUUUGUGGGGUGCUCGAGUGGCGAACGGGUGAGUAACACGUGAGUAACCUGCCCUUGACUUUGGGAUAACUUCAGGAAACUGGGGCUAAUACCGGAUAGGAGCUCCUGCUCCAUGGUGGGGGUUGGAAAGUUUCGGCGGUUGGGGAUGGACUCGCGGCUUAUCCGCUUGUUGGUGGGGUAGUGGCUUACCAAGGCUUUGACGGGUAGCCGGCCUGAGAGGGUGACCGGCCACAUUGGGACUAAGAGACGGCGCAGACUGCUACGGGAGGCAGCAGGGGGGAGUAUGGCACAAUGGGCGGAAGCCUGAGGCAGCAGCGCCGCGGGCGGGAUGACGGCCUUCGGGGUAUAAACCGCUUUCGCCUGUGACGAAGCGGGAGUGACGGUAAUGGAUAAAGAAGCACCGGCUAACUACGUG
rnacentral:rRNA from 1 species